CCUACGGGAGGCAGCAGUGGGGAAUAUUGCGCAAUGGGGGAAACCCUGACGCAGCAACGCCGCGUGAGUGAUGAAGGCCUUCGGGUUGUAAAGCUCUUUCGGUUGGGAAGUGGUACCAAAAGAAGAAGCACCGGCAAACUUCGUGCCAGCAGCCGCGGUAAUACGAAGGGUGCGAGCGUUGUUCGGAAUUACUGGGCGUAAAGGGUUCGUAGGCGGGAAUGCAAGUCAAGUGUGAAAUCCCCAGGCUUAACCUGGGACGUGCAUUUGAGACUGUGUUUCUUGAGUUUCGGAGAGGGUGGUGGAAUUGCUGGUGUAGGAGUGACAUCCGUAGAGAUCAGCAGGAACACCGGAGGCGAAGGCGACCACCUGGCCGAAACUGACGCUGAGGAACGAAAGCGUGGGGAGCAAACAGGAUUAGAUACCCUUGUAGUC
rnacentral:rRNA from 1 species